rnacentral:lncRNA from 1 species
CACUUCACGUUCCUUUAUUUCCAGUCCUGUUUCACAGUCGUCAUCCAUUUGGGACUCUCGGCGGCCCCGGCGGGUGGGCGGGUGGGUUCAGGAAUGUGGCCAAAGGCCGCGGGGCAGGCGGGGGGGGGGGAGCCCUUUCACCAGACCCCGGGGCUAGUCGCUGACCAAGCAAAGUAUGGGUGGCACGUCGACCCGCUGUAGGCCUCAGAGCACUAGGAAGGCGUGAGCCACACCCCUGCCCUUCCCGGUAGUCUAGGGGUGAGAAGUAGGGGACAGACCGGUACCAUGCAAGCCGAGUAAGGCCCUAAGAUGACCAGUGAAAGGGUCUCCAGGGAGAGAGAAAUCACAUCCAAACAGGAGGCUCAGGGAUCCCUGGGUGGCGCAGCGGUUUGGCGCCUGCCUCUGGCCCAGGGCGCGAUCCUGGAGACCCGGGAUCGAAUCCCACGUCUGGCUCCCGGUGCAUGGAGCCUGCUUCUCCCUCUGCCUGUGUCUCUGCCUCUCUCUCUCUCUGUGACUAUCAUAAAUAAAAAAAAAAAAAAAAAAAAAAACAGGAGGCUCCGUAAAAGCUUUCUUCAGGAAAGCGGCUAAGAGUAAUAAAGAUUUUGAGAGGUAGAAAGAGCUCUUCCAGGCAGGGAAUCAUCAAAAAGAAUGAAGAAAACAGGGCAAUUUGGGUGUGGAAAUAGGGAACAAAGAGUAGACAUUUGGAAUUUGUCCAGAGGUUGCAAUACAUGUAGGAAACCAGUUGAAAAUGAAAUAGAAGGGUCAUUUGGGAUCACAUGGGAUAGACUGAGUACCAAGCCAAGGAGCUUUACUCUUGCAGUAGGCAACAGAAGCUGGUCAGAGCUGAUUUUGGAAGAUCAAAAGAGUUUGAUAAAUGGCUUAAAGGAGAGAGAAUGGAGGCCAGGAGUCCAGAGGAAGAGAUAUGUGGCCCAAGGAGUAAAGAGAGCCCCAAGCCCUACAGUGGGAAGAGAAAAGAGGUGAAAGACAAAACACUAGUAAGGAAGGACCAACAGGGCCUGGAAACCUAAAGAAAACUCAAAGAUGAGAAGAACCUAGUACUUGGUGAUCAUGGCUCCAGCUCCAAAAAAGGAUAAAGAAGCUGUAGCCCAAAGGACAGCUCUGCUGCCUGUCCCAGCUUCCGGGCAGGGAGGACUUGCCCCAGUUAGAGCCAUGGUCACACCAGAUUCUGCCUCCAGAAGCAAGAAGUGGGUGGCCUGAGGUUUCUUCCUCUCUAACCCCCCAGCAAAAGCCUGAGUUCUUUGGAUGCAGAGAUGACCUUCCUUCCCUUUAAAAAAAACUCCAUGAGAAUCUAGCAGGGAAAAAAAGAGUCCAUUCUAUAUAGAAAAACAACAGCAGGACUGGAAGGGUUCAGGGCCAGUCUCUCUGCAGCCACUGUUCUCACCUCCCAUUUGCCACCCCUACCCCUAAAAAUCCUGGACACCUUUCCUAUCUUCCUCCUCUGAGAACAGGAAUUGGGAACUUCUUUUGUGCUCUAUCCUAGUGCUCUAAGAUUCCCAACAAGCAGGCACUUUCCUGCACCUGCCCAAGAGUAUCU